GGCACCAUACUAGGAAUUUGUCAAAUCCUCACCCACGAAAUCCAACCCAAAAAAAACCCCGACUCCUCUUUUUCUCCUCUCUCACGCCGCUCGUGUCAAAGUCCCGACUGCGAACUCGAUCUCCAUCUCCAUCUCAAAGCUCGAUCUCGAUCUCGAUCUCGGUCUCGAUCCAUCGUAGCUUGUUUUCUCCUCUCUUUCGGUUGCUCUCCUCAAACUUCUGCAGUUUCUGAUUGGGAUUCAAGGUAUGACUUCAAUUUUUGCUGUUUUUUAAUUUUUAUUUUUUUUUUGGUUGGUUUUUGGGGAUCUGAGGAUGUGAGAUUCCUUUGUUUGGGGUAUCUGAGUGUGUUAUCAUACUGUUUGUAGAGUUCUGUUGGUAGAUUGUGUGCAACAGUUUAUGGAUUGUUGAGAAAAUCAGUACUCAAAUGACAAAAUAAUAUCCAUAGCUCUAUUUUCUUGAUGCGGGUGAUUCUAGUCAUAGGUGAGUGAUGCUUGUGGAAUAAGAACUUGAUGGUAUGGUGGAUGCCACGACUGUUUGAGUUGGCAACAACUCACUUCUCACUGAUUCUUUAGUUUAAUUCAGGUUGCAUUUAUGCUGGUCUUGUACUCUCUCUUAUUCCAGUUGAAGCAACAAAUUGGAGAGUAUCCAUGUUUUCCUGAUUUUUUUUUCUUUUCUUCAUUUGUAACUGUAUUUCUUUGUCCUGAUUUGAUGAAUCCGUACCUGAAAAAUUUCAAGACACUCACUAGAUUUUAUGAAUGUUACUUUUAUUUAGUGUUCUCAAUAGCAUUCCAUCUUCUCAUAAACAAUACAGUUACACAAACAAAAUAGCAUACCAAACAUUCUUCAUAAUUCACUGCACACACUGGUAGAUUAUGGCUCAUACAUACUCAUAGAAGCAUCAAAACCUCA